GAGGGGUGAUGAGAGUCGAGCUAACAUUGGUUGAAAAUCUACAACUGUCAACUUACCUGAUUGUUAGACCAGUCCUUAGGGAGUUGCAUUUUCAGCUGCGGAAAAGGAGCCUCAGAGGGAUUAAGUAGUGUGCCCAGCUUCACACAGUUGGGAAGUGGUUACAAAAUUCUUUUGAUCGCAUGCAGUAUCCUCUGGCCUUCAGUCACACUGGCUGCAGUAGGACAUGCAUCGACAGGCUUGGUCAGUCCCACCAGUGAGGAGUCCACCGCAUUCAGUCCAGUCUUCUUCAGAGCCAUGUGGACUUGGGCACUUACCCAUCCUUGCCUAGAGGGAUAAACUUACAAACUCUUUGCAAGUUUCCAUGAGGUCCCUCGUCAGAGUCAGACAAGAGCCAAACCCUGUUCUCCAAGCAUGGCAUGAUGGGAGGGGAGAAAACAGGUUCUCCCAGAUUUGGAUCUCCUGUUGAGGACCACAGAGGAUUUCAUGGUGGCCUCAUCACCCUGUUGCUGGUGUGAAGGUGUGUGUGUGCGUGCAUGUGUGAUGAACAAAGGAGGAGCACGUGACCUCAGUCAAUCCAAUGGGAGUCGGUUUUGGAACGUAAGCCAUAAAGACUGGGAAAGUGGCUCUCCCUUGGUUGCCAUCCUUGCUGCAGCAUGGACAUGGUCAUGGUCAGCUAAGAAGGAAGCCCACACAGAAGGAAACAGUCAAGGGAAGGAGAGAAAAUCCGAUGCCAUCAUCAAGUCCCUCAUCUGGCUAUACCAAAGCCAAAUAAACAUCCCAAACCUCCCAAUUAU
ensembl:lncRNA